UACGUAGGGGGCAAGCGUUGUCCGGAAUCAUUGGGCGUAAAGAGCGUGUAGGCGGCCAGAUAAGUCCGCUGUGAAAUCUCGAGGCUCAACUUCGAGCUGUCGGUGGAAACUGUCUGGCUAGAGUCCGGAAGGGGCGAGUGGAAUUCCUGGUGUAGCGGUGAAAUGCGCAGAUAUCAGGAAGAACACCCGUGGCUAAGGCGGCUCUCUAGUACGGUACUGACGCUGAGACGCGAAAGCGUGGGGAGCGAACAGG
rnacentral:rRNA from 1 species